GCCAUCAUAGCACAGGGGUAAUGCGUUUCACUUGUACUUGCAAUGUUAUGAAAAGAUCCGCGGUUCGAUUCCGCGUGGUGGCA